rnacentral:lncRNA from 1 species
GUUCUUUGAGAAGUAGAUUCAUAAUUGAAAACUAUUAACAUACUCUCCUUUAGUAAGACAUGGUAUGCUAAUAAUUCAUUAAUAAUAAGUCCUCAACUAAACAGGAUUCAUUUGACAUGAAUAGGCAUAUGUAUGGUAGUCAUUCAAAUACAUCUAAGGCCAUAAAAUAAAAUUGUUUGCCCAAACACUACCUACUCAGAAAAAAGCUGCCUACUAAAAAUCUUUUAUUGACUUAUUCAAGAAGUUUUUUUUAAUCAGAUAGCCAUGAAGACUUAUAAACCAUGGAUACUAUAAUUUCUUUUUGUUGAAAAAAAAAGAAAAUGCCUACCUACCUACCCACUAGCUUUGGGUAGGGUUUGGGCAAACCAAAAUAUUUUUAAUUGUGGCCUAAAACAAAAAUGGUAUUCCUUUCAACAUAUCUCAUCACUAAAAACAUCUUAUUAGUAUGUGUACAUACUGAAUAAAAAUACAUCAGUAAUCUCUAUGGUAAGAACAACAAGUCAAGUAUAGUGUGUGGUAUAAACAACUUAACAGGUGCUUGCCAAGACUAAAUAGUCAACCAAAAUAUUGGACGGCUAGAUUCUUCUAAUCAAAUUAAAAAAAAACUGACAGUGACAAUAAAAACAGGCAGUCAAUUAUAUUAAACAUUACAAGUCAUUUUGGGAUGGAAUCUACAAAAAUAUUUCACAAAGAGGUACAAACAUCUCUAAGUAUUGUCC